rnacentral:rRNA from 1 species
UCCAGGAGAAGUCUGAGGAGCACGCCGCGUGAACGAUGAAGGUUUCGGAUCGUAAAGUUCUGUUGUUAGGGAAGAACAAGUACCGUUCUAAUAGGGCGGUACCUUGACGGUACCUAACCAGAAAGCCCCGGCUAACUACGUGCCAGCAGCCGCGGUAAUACGA